rnacentral:rRNA from 1 species
CACGUAGGGGGCGAGCGUUGUCCGGAUUUAUUGGGCGUAAAGAGCUCGUAGGCGGCUCGGUAAGUCGGGUGUGAAAACUCUAGGCUCAACCUAGAGACGCCGCCUGAUACUGCUGUGGCCAGAGUCCGGUAGGGGAGCAUGGAAUUCCUGGUGUAGCGGUGAAAUGCGCAGAUAUCAGGAGGAACACCAGUGGCGAAGGCGGUGCUCUGGGCCGGUACUGACGCUGAGGAGCGAAAGCGUGGGGAGCAAACAGG